UCAAGGACUUGAGUCCAGGUUUUUAGUUUGAAAACAUGAAGAAGUUUGCACAAUGUCUAUGUCAAGUUUAAGAUCAAAGUGUGAAAAGGUUCUAGGACACAAUGAGGAUGAAUGAGUGAGGAUGGAAAGUAAAGCUUCUCAGGAGGUUCACUUCUUGAGAUCAUAUAGAGGAUGAUUCAAGGGUGUCCUUUGGAAUGGAA
rnacentral:lncRNA from 1 species